rnacentral:rRNA from 1 species
ACUCCUACGGGAGGCAGCAGUGGGGAAUCUUGCGCAAUGGGCGAAAGCCUGACGCAGCGACGCCGCGUGAGUGAUGAAGGCCCUCGGGUUGUAAGGCUCUGUGGAGGGGGACGAAUAAGUGUCGUCGAAUAGACGGCAUGAUGACGGUACCCCUUUAGCAAGCACCGGCUAACUCUGUGCCAGCAGCCGCGGUAAGACAGAGGGUGCAAACGUUGUUCGGAAUUACUGGGCGUAAAGCGCGUGUAGGCUGCUCGGAAAGUCGGAUGUGAAAGCCCUGGGCUCAACCCAGGAAGAGCAUUCGAAACUCCCGAGCUCGAGUACCGGAGAGGAAGGCGGAAUUCUCGGUGUAGAGGUGAAAUUCGUAGAUAUCGAGAGGAACACCUGUGGCGAAGGCGGCCUUCUGGACGGUUACUGACGCUGAGACGCGAAAGCGUGGGGAGCAAACAGGAUUAGAUACCCUGGUAGUCCACGCCGUAAACGAUGGGUGCUAGGUGUCGCGGGAYUUGACCCCUGCGGUGCCGUAGCUAACGCMUUAAGCACCCCGCCUGGGGAGUACGGCCGCAAGSCUAMMACUCAAASGAAUUGMCG